GACGAACGCUGGCGGCGUGCUUAACACAUGCCAGUCGAACGGAAGGGCCCUGCUUUUGUUGGGUGCUCGUUUGGCGAACGGGUGAGUGACGCGCGAGUAACCUCCCCUUGACUUUGUGGGAACAUCACGAAAAUGGGGCGAAUACCCGAUAGAAUCUCCUGCACCAUGGGGGGGGUUGGAAAAAUUCGGCCUUUCGGGAUGGACUCGCUGGUUAUCAGCUUGUUGGUGAGGUAGGUGAUUACCAAGGCUUUGAAGGCUAGGCGGCCUGAGAGGGUGACCGGGCACAUGGGGACUGAGAGACGGCCCAGAAUCCAACGGGCGGCAGUAGUGGGAAAUAUUGCACAAUGGGGGGGAGCCAGAUGCAGCAACGCCGCGUGCGGGAUGAUGGCCUUCGGGUUGAAAACAGCUUUCGCAUGUGCCGAAGAGUGAGUGACGGUAAUGGGUAAAGAAGCACCGGCUAACUACGUG
rnacentral:rRNA from 1 species